CAGAGUCUGAUUGGAAAAAAUAACAAAACAAUUAGUUCCUUUUUUAUUUCAGCCCCAAGAGGCUCAGGCUAGCAGAAUACAUGCUCUCGCUUUUUACAUUAACCCGUUAUGUAGGCAAUAUAUCUUGAGAUUCACUGUAGUUAAAAUUUUGAUCCAAGCAUAGUAAGAGAAGAACAGGAUACAUGUAUGCUCCUGCCUUUCAGUUCUCAUCUAUCACUGCUGCCUUUAUCUUUUGGAAUCUUCCCCUCUUUGAGUGGAUUCAUUCCAGAUUCACCACUGAACUCCACAUACCCUGCUGAGAACCACAGAAGAUAACGAAUUAUUCUCACAACCACCACCUUCUCAUGUCUUCCAACUCUUAUCCUGGAGGAAUUCUGCCAUGCCUUCCCCAAUCCCUGAAAGUCUCUGAUGGGGGAAAAGCUCUUCAUGCAAUCCUGUGAAGGAAAACUCAAGAUUUUCAGUGCCCUUCACAAAGGAGAAAUGACAGGAGAGGGUAACAUCAGUGAAUGGGUGGGCCCGCAGCUCCUCUGUAGACACCGAGAAUGUCAAAGAAGAAAUGAAGUUAAUAAAGACCAAUCAGCACUGCAUCAGGCUCAACAACACUGCAGUACUGGUCUUCUGGAAGAACAGUUGCCUCUGCCUUAUCAAGAAGCUGGUGAUGCAGGAAGUCAUCACCACGGGUGUUGCUUCCAUAGCCAAUCUGCACCUGCUAGAUUGCACUGGCCAAUGAAAGAAUGCGUCAUGCACUAUAACCUUUCUCCCCACUUCAAUCAGUUGCCAUUUAAUUCUUGAGAAAAUAUAUCUGAUUGGCAGACUCUAAGUCAUUCCCAGAACCCUAACUGCAAAGGAAUCUUGGAAAUAUGUUUUACUCUCCAGUUUCAGCAAUCCAGGAAUGCACAUCAGAAAGGCGGGAAAAGAUGUUCAGUAAGUAAGUCUAUUCUACCUGCCACAAAUAUCUACCAAUCUGGGCAGAGCUAUCCAUAGCAGGACCUGAGGGCUAUAGGGAAUAUAGCCAUGCACUAUGUAUAUUCAUAGAAUAAUGACAUGGAAUAGAAUGCUGAUGUGUUAUAUUUGCAAGAAAGCUUACAGAUCCUCUGAUUCAAUGUUUUUGAACUAUUUUCCCCAAAGCCCACCUCAUAGGUUGCCACUGAUGACCAGGUGAAGAGCAAGUCAGUGAGAUCUCCA
rnacentral:lncRNA from 1 species